rnacentral:rRNA from 1 species
AUGGCGCGGCUGCCGCUGUCACCAUCUCCACCGGCUUUCACCCCGGUCAAGGAAGAGCCCGACGUCGACACCACCUCUGCCGCUCGCACUACGCGCCCACCGCCCCGCAAGAAGCGCCGCCGGGACCACCUUCCGGUAACCCCAACCCAGCCGCUGCUCACGCCCCAAACUAUUCUGUCCGGGAUUUCGAAAGCCGAUUCCUUCGAUGUCAAGCGAUGCGGGGAGCUGGACCUAACGCCGACGACCGUGCCCACCUCCAUAAAGCACGAGCCUGACGCCGACGACGGGGCUGGCAAGGAUGCAGGAUGGGAAACAUUGGGCGCACCACCGCACAAGAAGCGCGGCCGUCACUGCCUCUCGGCAACCCCAAUCCAGCCCCUUUUCACGCCCCAAGCUACCCUGCCGGGCAUUUCAAGGGCUGAUUCCUCUGUGGAUAAGUGGAGCGAGCAGCCCAGCGCCACGCCGACUGCCACUGUCAAGCGCGAGCUCGGCGCAGACGCUGGCAAGGAUGCAGGAGGGAAGGUGGUCCGGAGACGACGCCCCCACCCUCAGCGGCCCAUUACAGAGCAAGCCCCCACCAUGUGGGCCAAUCGUGGACGCCUCGGCCGUCUCCUCCGCAAUCUAGUUCGCACGCACCAAUGGCGAGAUGCUGCCGGGGUCUUCUCUGUGCUCCUACCUGGCAUCCAGCGCCCUGACUCCUUCGAGGAGGCCCGCAGCAUUUUAGUGGAUGCGAUGGAUAUUCAUAGACGCCUUGCUCAGGACAGUGGCAACCAUGGCAGGAGAACCUACUACCACAGGACACAAAAGGUUUUUGAUGUUUGGAUACAACGGCUAAUGUGGUUGCCUACUUGUGCAAAAAAACACAUGGUUAAACUCGAACUGGCUCUAUUUUAUCUUUCACAAGGCAAGAUCGACGAUGCACACAAUGCAACAAGAGUCCUCAUUGCGAAGGACGGACUAAAGAUGGAACCAACUCUAAAUCUCAUACAUGGCUUGAUAUCAUAUGAUAAAUGGUACUCUGGUUUGCCCAAAGAUAUGCAACUUGAGAGAUUUGAUGUGUACAAUGAAUCAUGCAAAAUUUCUGUGUCAUUGAAUGCCUGUGGAGAAAAUUGUCUCCAGGAUAGUUCAGAUGACAAUUGCAGCAUUGAUGUUGAUAAUGCCAGUUUUCCUGCUUGCUCUUCAGAAAGUUCUAUCAAUAAUGGGAAUAUAGACAAAAAAUGCAAGAUUCCCGAGAAGAAAUCUUGUUUUGUUUAUCCUGUCAAGGAAAAUGAUUCAGUAGAUUCACAAGUGAAAGAAGUGGUUUCUGCAGAUUUUCGAAGCGUAUUUUUUAAUACCUCUGAUGCCCCUACCUGUGGAUUGGAACGAACCUUGUUGCCGCUACGUCUAAAGCAUGCUACUGGGUCUUCAAGUGAUUGCUUUGAUUCGUACUGGAAGUACAAGUCAACACCUAAUACCUUCUACGCAGAUGCAGAAAGAUGUCUAAGAGUGGCUCUUCAUUCGUCGCCACCAGUAAUGGCAGCCUUAUUACCAUUAAUACAGAUUCUCCUGCUUGGUGAUAAACUGAAAGAUGCACUUUGUGAACUUGAGAGGACCUGCCGCAGUUCUACUACAGCGCUUCCUUUCAGAUUGCGAGGCAGACUGCUAGAGUAUUUUGACCAAAACCAAGUAUCAGCUAUAUCUUCUUGCUAUGAGGAAGCUUUGCAGAGAGAUCCUACAUGUAGCUACUCGGUUGAGAGGCUAACUGAAAUGCACAGAAAAGGAGAGGCAUCGAUCAAUGCUUUUAGUAGUCUUUCUUCAGUCUUCUUUGAGCAACAUACAAGGGAAUCAUGGAAGCUCCGAUGCAAAUGGUGGAUGAACCGUCAUUUCAGCCAAAACAUCUAUAUGUCAGAGACCGCAAAAGGUGAUUGCAAGCUCCUCGCUUCCAAGGCAUCUUGUGCCUCUCACAUGCUUGGGCCCGGAUUCCCAUAUGUCAAAGCAGCUAAGAGCUAUCUUUCCAAGCAAGAGGCUAAGGAUGAAUCCGGAUUCUUGUCCAGGAACAUGGAAAAUUCUGUCAAGUUAUUACAAAGUUUGGAGAAACUAACGUGA